UAGGGAAUCUUCGGCAAUGGACGAAAGUCUGACCGAGCAACGCCGCGUGAGUGAAGAAGGUUUUCGGAUCGUAAAACUCUGUUGGUAAAGAAGAACGUUGGUGAGAGUGGAAAGCUCAUCAAGUGACGGUAACUACCCAGAAAGGGACGGCUAACUACGUGCCAA
rnacentral:rRNA from 1 species